GACAGAGGGGGCAAGCGUUGUCCGGAUUGACUGGGCGUACAGCGCGCGCAGGCGGCAGGGUAUGUGCGUGGUGACAUCCGACGGCUCAACCGUCGGCGGCCCAAGUACACAGCCCGGCUGGAGCACGGGAGAGGGUCGUGGAAUGCCCGGUGGAGCGGUGAAAUGCGUAGAGAUCGGGCGGAACACCAGCGGCGAAGGCGGCGACCUGGCCCGUGGCUGACGCUGAGGCGCGAGAGCGUGGGGAGCGAACGGG
rnacentral:rRNA from 1 species